UAGUUGGUGGGGUAAAAGCUCACCAAGGCGACGAUCUGUAGCUGGUCUGAGAGGACGACCAGCCACACUGGACUGAGACACGGCCCAGACUCCUACGGGAGGCAGCAGUGGGGAAUUUUGGACAAUGGGGGCAACCCUGAUCCAGCCAUGCCGCGUGAGUGAAGAAGGCCUUCGGGUUGUAAAGCUCUUUCAGCCGGAACGAAACGGUUACGGUUAAUACCCGUGAUUACUGACGGUACCGGAAGAAGAAGCACCGGCUAACUACGUGCCAGCAGCCGCGGUAAUACGUAGGGUGCGAGCGUUAAUCGGAAUUACUGGGCGUAAAGCGUGCGCAGGUGGUUUUGUAAGUCAGAUGUGAAAGCCCCGGGCUCAACCUGGGAACUGCGUUUGAAACUACAAGACUAGAGUGUGGCAGAGGGGGGUGGAAUUCCGCGUGUAGCAGUGAAAUGCGUAGAGAUGUGGAGGAACACCGAUGGCGAAGGCAGCCCCCUGGGUCAACACUGACGCUCAGGCACGAAAGCAUGGGGAGCAAACAGGAUUAGAUACCCUGGUAGUCCAUGCCCUAAACGAUGUCAACUAGUUGUCGGGCCUUUACGGGCUUGGUAACGUAGCUAACGCGUGAAGUUGACCGCCUGGGGAGUACGAUCGCAAGAUUAAAACUCAAAUGAAUUGACGGGGACCCGCACAAGCGGUGGAUUAUGUGGAUUAAUUCGAUGCAACGCGAAAAACCUUACCUACCCUUGACAUGUAUCGAAGCCCGCAGAAAAGCGGGGGUGCCCGAAAGGGAACGAUAACACAGGUGCUGCAUGGCUGUCGUCAGCUCGUGUCGUGAGAUGUUGGGUUAAGUCCCGCAACGAGCGCAACCCUUGUCAUUAAUUGCCAUCAUUUAGUUGGGCACUUUAAUGAGACUGCCGG
rnacentral:rRNA from 1 species